UGGGGAAUUUUGGACAAUGGGCGCAAGCCUGAUCCAGCCAUGCCGCGUGCAGGAUGAAGGCCUUCGGGUUGUAAACUGCUCUUGUACGGAACGAAAAGACUCUGGUUAAUACCUGGGGUCCAUGACGGUACCGUAAGAAUAAGCACCGGCUAACUACGUGCCAGCAGCCGCGGUAAUACGUAGGGUGCGAGCGUUAAUCGGAAUUACUGGGCGUAAAGCGUGCGCAGGCGGUUAUAUAAGACAGAUGUGAAAUCCCCGGGCUCAACCUGGGAACUGCAUUUGUGACUGUAUAGCUAGAGUACGGCAGAGGGGGAUGGAAUUCCGCGUGUAGCAGUGAAAUGCGUAGAUAUGCGGAGGAACACCGAUGGCGAAGGCAAUCCCCUGGGCCUGUACUGACGCUCAUGCACGAAAGCGUGGGGAGCAAACA
rnacentral:rRNA from 1 species